UAAAUUUUAUAUACGGUAGUUAAUAAAUUAAAAAAUAAAUGUAGCUAAAUCCUAAUGAUAUACUCGUACUAAAAUACAUGUGGCACAAAAUUUGUGAAAGAUAAGAGAGCUUAAAUUAGAAAAGGAUCUUAAUCAUAAUUAUAACUAGAGAUAUCAUCCUCUCUCUCUAUGAAUAUAAUUGAAUAAAAGUAUAAAAGUCUUAUGUUUGCAAGUGUAUAGAACCAUGACAAGUAGAUGAAGUUGUCUCAAAUCCCUUGAGCCCAAUAUUGGCUCAAUUCCAAUACAAAAGAUUACCAUCAAACAAAUGCUUAGGUGCUUUUGGAGAUUUAAAAAGCAACUUUUAAGCACCAUAAUUCGUUUAGGAGUCUGCCUGCGAGAGAAUGUUGUCCGUGGAAGACAAGGCUUAGGCUUUCUGGUUUUUGGUGAUCGCUUACUGGUGGAGUUGCGGCGGCCACAAGCUCUCGUUCAUCUUACCAGUCUACAAGAAAGAAGGCAACGACGGCUGUCUUUGAGCUUAAUCACGGAAGAAGUAUUGAUCUAUUUGUAGUGAAUUCAUAAUUCUAAAUUGUAUUUCACUAAGAUAUAAUUAAACAAAGGAGAAACAAAAUGAUCAUUUAAACUUCCAAUUCACCUCAGUGUAUAAAAUAAAGAAUGGAUAGCAAACUAACAAAUUGGAUAGCAAACUAACAAAUUACAAUUUUGAUGUACAAUGAGUUAUGUUUAUGGGUGAUAAAGAUUCACAAAAGUAAAUUUUUAAUCAAUCUUUACGAAUGAGAAAUUACAUGAGGUAGCCAAUUCAUUGUAUAAGAUUAGUUUGGAAAUCAAUAAAAUGUGUGUAUGUAUAAAUACAGAGAUUAGAAUAAUACAAUAAUGAUAGAAUAUAUUUAUCUAGUAUGGAUGUUAGUUUGUAUAGUAAAUUAUGAAUUUUAAUAUACACACACAUAUAUGUACAUGUAUAUGUAUAUGUGUGUGUGUGUAUUGUUUUGUUAAGUAUUUUGGUGGGAAGAGGAUAUUUGAACACAUUAUAAUAUUGAAUAGUGAUUUUUUUUCUAUCUCUCUACUUUCUCAUAGUCUUCUAUUUUUAUUUUAUAAUCAAAUCCUCCAUUGCUAUUGGCUUAUUGCAAUGGCUCUUUUUCUUUCUUUCUUUCUUCUUUUUUUUUUUUCCUUGAUUGAAAACUCUCAAAGUUCUAUCACUAAACAAUAGAAACAUAAGAUAGAGUGUAAAGAUCUCUAAUAUCAAUUAAAGCACAAAAUUCUCCAUAAAUCCAAAAACUUGAAAGAUCAUGGUGUGUAUGUGCAUGUCAGCACGUGUGUGUAGAAAAAAGACAGCUUUCAAAUGUGGAAUGUUGUUCCAAACUUGACAGUCCAAACAUGUGCAUGUGAUCAAUGUUAUUCCAAGUCAAUACACAUGUGAUCAAUGUUAUCCCAAGCCAAUACACAGUUGAACAUCGACCACAUGCAUAUACACAGAUUAUAAUAAAUUACACAUAUGAAAUUCAACAUAACAUAUUUUCACUUCAGCAAUAUGUCAUAGAUAAAAAAUUAUACAUAUCAAAAUCAAAUACUACAAAAUGGCCCAUUUAAAUUAAGGUCGAGCUCUCACCAAAUUUUUUUAACUUAUUUUUUUUGUUCAGGGCACAACAAAAAAUUUAUAAUCAGUGCUAUUGUAUUAUAAUCAAUUAAUCAAAUUGGUAAAAUGAGUUUCAAUUUUUUGUUCUCACUUCCACAAGUUGCAGGUUGUUUAAGUAAAAAGCAAAGCUUCAAAAAAUCUCUAUUUAUCUCUAAUAAGAAAAUCCUAAUUUGCCUAAAUCAUUUUCUCUCUAAAAAAAUAAUAUUUUUGGAGUGACAGGCAACAAACUUAAACAAAAUGGCAUUUGUAGUGAAAUCACUAUCAUGGCAAUGACAAUCGUGAACAAUAUCAUAUCAUUCAAAUAAUUACAUGCUAUUAAAAACAAUUAAUUAAAUCACUCAAGUAAUUACUCAAAUAAAACAAAUACCAGCAAGAUAUAGAGUCGAGCGAGCAGCAACAGUUGAGUUUGUUGAGACGGAGCAACAGUGGCUAGACAGAGACAAAGCAACAAUAGCUACGGUGGAGACAGAGCAGUGGCAGUGGCUGAGAUGAAGUAGCAACAGGGGCAGAGACGAAAUACAGCAGCUGGCACACCGAGAGAGAAUAGAUCGAGAGAAAUAAGGAGAGAAAAUGUUGUUGGAUGAAGAUAAAGGGGGAGAGAGUGCAGUUUGCUGUAACUGGAUCGAGAAAGGUGAGGGGGAAGAGAGAGCGUUGAUGAAGAGAUAAGGAUAAAGAGAUGGGUCACGAGAUUGUGGUUUUGUUUUUUAAUUAAUUUUUGGGUUUAGUUUUGUAAUAUUUGGAGAACAUGUUUAACAAGUUUUCAAUUUAUCAGUUAUAAUAAUGAAUCCGGAUUUUUUAUUUUGUAGUCUAUAUUUUGAAUACAAUCCACCGAACAUGUAUUAUAUAUGUCUUUUGAAAACAAAAAUGAAACAAUGAUUGGAAAAUGAUACCGAA
rnacentral:lncRNA from 1 species